rnacentral:rRNA from 1 species
GACGGAGGAUGCAAGCGUUAUCCGGAAUGAUUGGGCGUAAAGCGUCCGCAGGUGGCAGUUCAAGUCUGCUGUCAAAGACCGGGGCUUAACUUCGGAAAGGCAGUGGAAACUGAACAGCUAGAGUAUGGUAGGGGCAGAGGGAAUUCCUGGUGUAGCGGUGAAAUGCGUAGAUAUCAGGAAGAACAUCGGUGGCGAAGGCGGCCUGCUGGGCUAUGGCUGACACUGAGGCGCGACAGCGUGGGGAGCAAACAGG